GCCUUUUUAGCUCAGUUGGUAGAGCGCAUCCAUGGUAAGGAUGAGGUCGCCGGUUCAAUUCCGGCAAAAGGCUCCA
rnacentral:tRNA from 1 species